rfam:Stegodyphus mimosarum contig78465, whole genome shotgun sequence.
GCCUUCGUGGUGUAGUGGUCUGCAUUCUCGACGCGUAACCGAGAGGUCCGUGGUUCGAUUCCCGGCGAAGGCG